UUUCAGGAAUAUGCUUUCCAUGUUCCUGAAACCCAACCUAAUCUAAUUCAUUUAUCUAAAUUUGCAAUUCCUUAUGUUUAGUACUAAAAUAUACUUUAAACGUAAUUUUAUUUGUAUUGAAAUAGGGUAUUUUGGAUUUUGUUCAGCUUUGAAACGGCCCAGGUUUUUAUGUUCUUGCUUUUAUUCUCCGUCAUUUUAUCAUUACCAUCUUCAUCAUUUUUAGCUUACCAACCCAUGAACUAUUAAAUACCAAUCGCCGAGCUUCUAAAACAUCAUAGAAGAUUAGUUUUACUGCUGGCCAGGCUCCAAAAGGUUUCACAACUUUGUUCACACGUGCGUUUGGAAAUUUUCCUAGGUGCAACAUAAAUAUCAGCUGGCUUCUCUUAGUACAUGCACUGUCUGUGAUGUAAUUGGAAGAGAAGAAACUUUUCAUUAAAGCGAGAAAUUUGCAAGAAUGGGUAUUAAACUGAAAUCCACGCAGCAAAUACAGGACAAUUUCUGGAAUGUGGUAUCCUGCACUAUUUAAAAUGAGCUGCAGUUGGGAGAGAACUCACAUUUUUCUUCUGAUUUGAUUGCCUUCUUCCUUUGCGUCACCCUCAUGGAGAGCUUUGCCUCGGAAUAGAAAAAGAAUAAGAUGAUAUUAAGGUAAAUUCAACGAAUUGGAUAGCAACUGAUGGUAAGUGAAUGGUGAAGUUUUUUGGGGAAUGAACUCCCUUUUAGAAGCGGAGCUUCCUUCCUUUCCUGCUAAUUCUUCGCUGACAACGGGAAACUUUCUACCAACAAAGGAUGACUUCCUUCGAGUCUUCACCUCUGCACCAUCCCGACUCAGAAACCUUCCGGACAAUCUCAGCUAUACUACCAUCUAACCAUUCCAGGCUCUCUUUCCGUGAGUCUCUAAAAGAUUUAUACCUGCAACUAGUCUCGUUACUUUGAUCUGAGAAAUUAUGUGAGGUCUUGUGUACCGUUACUUUGAAAUGAUGACUCCAUUUUCCGAUUCUGAAACCGACCGGACUGUCUCAUCCUUUUCACUUCUAGUGAGAUGAAUUCUUCAGUUAGAUAAGAAAUACCUUCUUUAUUUGUGGGAAGAAAUUUUGUUAUUGUUGGUUUAAGCACUCACUGCCUCUGAUUAUUUUAAUUUCUUUUGACCAUAUUAUGCUACUUUAAGAAAGACUAAAGGUUAAUAUGUACUACUUUAUCUACCGGAAGUAAAUAUGUUUGAGAUGUUUUAAUUUUAAUUGAAAAUCCAUAACAAAAGAAAUAACUCUGAUGGAAA